GAUGAACGCUGGCGGCGUGCCUAAUACAUGCAAGUCGAGCGAACAGACGAGGAGCUUGCUCCUUCGACGUUAGCGGCGGACGGGUGAGUAACACGUAGGUAACCUCCUAUAAGACUGGGAUAACUUCGGGAAACCGGAGCUAAUACCGGAUAAUAUUUCGAACCGCAUGGUUCGAUAGUGAAAGAUGGCUUUGCUAUCACUUAUAGAUGGACCUGCGCCGUAUUAGCUAGUUGGUAAGGUAACGGCUUACCAAGGCAACGAUACGUAGCCGACCUGAGAGGGUGAUCGGCCACACUGGAACUGAGACACGGUCCAGACUCCUACGGGAGGCAGCAGUAGGGAAUCUUCCGCAAUGGGCGAAAGCCUGACGGAGCAACGCCGCGUGAGUGAUGAAGGUCUUCGGAUCGUAAAACUCUGUUAUUAGGGAAGAACAAACGUGUAAGUAACUGUGCACGUCUUGACGGUACCUAAUCAGAAAGCCACGGCUAACUACGUG
rnacentral:rRNA from 1 species